rnacentral:rRNA from 1 species
UGGGAGUUAAAAAGCGUAACAAGGUCUCCGUUGGUGAACCAGCGGAGGGAUCAUUACCGAGUUAUCCAACUCCCAACCCCUGUGAAUCAUACCUUUAAUUGUUGCUUCGGCGGGACUUCGCGCCCGCCGGGGACCCAAACCUUCUGAAUUUUUUAAUAAGUAUCUUCUGAGUGGUUAAAAAAAAUGAAUCAAAACUUUCAACAACGGAUCUCUUGGUUCUGGCAUCGAUGAAGAACGCAGCGAAAUGCGAUAAGUAAUGUGAAUUGCAGAAUUCAGUGAAUCAUCGAAUCUUUGAACGCACAUUGCGCCCGUCAGUAUUCUGGCGGGCAUGCCUGUUCGAGCGUCAUUACGCCCCUCAAGUCCCCUGUGGACUUGGUGUUGGGGAUCGGCGAGGCUGGUUUUCCAGCACAGCCGUCCCUUAAAUUAAUUGGCGGUCUCGCCGUGGCCCUCCUCUGCGCAGUAGUAAAGCACUCGCAACAGGAGCCCGGCGCGGUCCACUGCCGUAAAACCCCCCAACUUUUUAUAGUUGACCUCGAAUCAGUAGACACCCCCCCU